UGGGGAAUCUUGGACAAUGGGCGCAAGCCUGAUCCAGCCAUGCCGCGUGAGUGAAGAAGGCCUUCGGGUUGUAAAGCUCUUUUUACCAGGGACGAUAAUGACGGUACCUGGAGAAUAAGCCCCGGCAAACUUCGUGCCAGCAGCCGCGGUAAUACGAAGGGGGCUAGCGUUGUUCGGAAUUACUGGGCGUAAAGCGCACGUAGGCGGAUUGUUAAGUCAGGGGUGAAAUCCUGGGGCUCAACCCCAGAACUGCCUUUGAUACUGGCUGUCUCGAGGUCGAGAGAGGUUGGUGGAAUUCCUAGUGUAGAGGUGAAAUUCGUAGAUAUUAGGAAGAACACCAGUGGCGAAGGCGGCCAACUGGCUCGAUACUGACGCUGAGGUGCGAAAGCGUGGGGAGCAAACAGGAUUAGAUACCCAAGUAGUCCCUGAGCGGGCUGGCAAGGCGCAU
rnacentral:rRNA from 1 species